AUGGCCAAGCAACGACGGAGCGGCGCCGGCGCCGGUAACGUCGCCUCGGACGCCGUCCGGCCGAAGCCGGAGCGGACGCGGAGGAGCGUGCGGCGGGGGCGCCCCUCCCAGCGCACAUCCUCGUACCGCGGCGUCACACGGCACCGGUGGACGGGGCGGUUCGAGGCGCACCUGUGGGAGAAGAACACCUGGACCGAGCCGCAGAGGAAGAAGAAAGGGAGGCAAGUUUAUCUCGGGGCGUACGGCGGCGAGGAGGCGGCGGCGCGCGCCUACGACCUGGCGGCGCUCAAGUACUGGGGCCGCGGCACCGUCCUCAACUUCUCGCUGUCUAGCUACGGCCAAGAGUUGAAAGAAAUGAGGCGCAGUCCAGGGAGGAGUACAUCGGCUCGCUCCGGAGGAAAAGCACUGGCUUCUCAAGAGGGGUGUCCAAGUACAGAGGCGUCGCAGGGUAGAGCUGAUCUUUCAUUGCAAGAUUUGCAUCACCACAACGGCAAAUGGGAGGCUAGGAUUGGGCGUGUGUUUGGCAACAAGUAUCUCUACCUAGGCACCUACGUGACGCAGGAGGAGGCAGCCAUGGCGUACGACAUCGCCGCCAUCGAGCACUGCGGCCUCAAUGCUGUCACCAACUUCGACGUCAGUCGCUACAUCAAGUGGCAUCACUGUUGCCACGCUGACGACGCGGGCGGUCUCAACACCCCUCGUUGUGUCAAUGAUCGGUUGCAACCGCCCCAGGCGAGUCCAACGUCUCAUGCGGCGUCGGCGCUCGGCCCGCUGCUGAAAGCGCCCAGGUUGAAGGAGAUGAUGGAGCGGGUGGCAGCCUCCCAGAUCAGCACCAACUCGCUGUCUUCGUCGUCGUGUCCCCCCUUACCGCCACCACCGACGACACAGCGGCGGGAGACGAAGCCUAGAAAUUCGUCAAUGCGGUGUAGCUUCCCGGACGAUGUGCAGACAUAUUUCGGGUGCGGCGAUGAAGAGGGUAUGAGCGGUUUGGCGGAGGUUGACACGUUCUUAUUUGGGGACCUGGGCGUGUGCGCUGAGCUGGGCCUUUGA
rnacentral:rRNA from 1 species